rnacentral:rRNA from 1 species
UUGUACUGAUUGAGAUUUUAACACGAAGUGAGUGGCGAACGGGUGAGUAACACGUGGGUAACCUGCCCAGAAGUAGGGGAUAACACCUGGAAACAGAUGCUAAUACCGUAUACAGAGAAAACCGCAUGGUUUUCUUUUAAAAGAUGGCUCUGCUAUCACUUCUGGAUGGACCCGCGGCGUAUUAGCUAGUUGGUGAGGUAAAGGCUCACCAAGGCAGUGAUACGUAGCCGACCUGAGAGGGUAAUCGGCCACAUUGGGACUGAGACACGGCCCAGACUCCUACGGGAGGCAGCAGUAGGGAAUCUUCCACAAUGGACGCAAGUCUGAUGGAGCAACGCCGCGUGAGUGAAGAAGGGUUUCGGCUCGUAAAGCUCUGUUGUUAAAGAAGAACGUGGGUAAGAGUAACUGUUUACCCAGUGACGGUAUUUAACCAGAAAGCCACGGCUAACUACGUGCCAGCAGCCGCGGUAAUACGUAGGUGGCAAGCGUUAUCCGGAUUUAUUGGGCGUAAAGCGAGCGCAGGCGGUCUUUUAAGUCUAAUGUGAAAGCCUUCGGCUCAACCGAAGAAGUGCAUUGGAAACUGGGAGACUUGAGUGCAGAAGAGGACAGUGGAACUCCAUGUGUAGCGGUGAAAUGCGUAGAUAUAUGGAAGAACACCAGUGGCGAAGGCGGCUGUCUGGUCUGCAACUGACGCUGAGGCUCGAAAGCAUGGGUAGCGAACAGGAUUAGAUACCCUGGUAGUCCAUGCCGUAAACGAUGAUUACUAAGUGUUGGAGGGUUUCCGCCCUUCAGUGCUGCAGCUAACGCAUUAAGUAAUCCGCCUGGGGAGUACGACCGCAAGGUUGAAACUCAAAAGAAUUGACGGGGGCCCGCACAAGCGGUGGAGCAUGUGGUUUAAUUCGAAGCUACGCGAAGAACCUUACCAGGUCUUGACAUCUUCUGACAGUCUAAGAGAUUAGAGGUUCCCUUCGGGGACAGAAUGACAGGUGGUGCAUGGUUGUCGUCAGCUCGUGUCGUGAGAUGUUGGGUUAAGUCCCGCAACGAGCGCAACCCUUAUUACUAGUUG